rnacentral:misc_RNA from 1 species
UGAUACCAUGUAGAGAAAAUGGUCUUGGGCGAACACUGCUAUUUCGGUGUCACCGCUUGUGCUGCACAAUUGCAACUGAGAGUCAUAGUAGUUAGCUCUGAUACUAUUGAUACGAAUUUAGAAGAACCACACCCAAAAAGCUAACUCAAGGGAAGGAAAUUUACUCAAAUAUUAUACACGGUUAUCAAAGGCACGCAGGAGGUGCGCCUCAGCACCCAAUAGAAGGAGAGACGCGACACCUCACUGAGGCGCACCAAGGCAGGCACGAGGCGCAAAAGGGCGCUUCCCAUUGAUCCCCAGCGCAAGGGAAAAAUGUUAGGGCUUAAAAGCCAACAGCUAGCAUUCAG